CACGUCAGUUUGACCACAAACCAUGUUUUCUGUAGCUCUGCUGCUGCUGCUGGCAGCUGGAUCCUGUGUGAAGUGUGAGCAGUUGACACAGCCAGCCUCUGUGACUGUGCAGCCAGGUCAACGUCUGACCAUCACCUGUCAGGUCACUUAUUCUCUUGGCUACUACACAGGUUGGAUCAGACAACCUGCAGGGAAAGGACUGGAGUGGAUUGGAAUGAGACAUACUGGAGAGUCACACUACAAAAAUUCACUCAAGAACAAGUUCACUAUUGACUUAGACUCUUCCAGCAACAGAGUAACUCUAAAUGGACAUAAUCUGCAGUCUGAAGACACUGCUGUGUAUUACUGUGCCAAAAAACCACAGUAA